rnacentral:rRNA from 1 species
UCGAUCCUGGCUCAGAUUGAACGCUGGCGGGAUGCUUUACACAUGCAAGUCGAACGGCAGCACGGACUACGGUCUGGUGGCGAGUGGUAAGGAACGGGUGAGUAAUGUAUCGAAACGCCCAUAUGGGGAUAACUACGCGAAAGCGUAGCUAAUACCGUACAUACGCCCUUCGGGGGAAAGCGGGGACCUCGGGCCUCGCACUAUUAGGAGCGGCCGAUAUCGGAUUAGCUAGUUGGUGGGUAACGGCUCACCAAGGCGACGAUCCGUAGCUGGUUUGAGAGGACGACCAGCCACCUGGGACUGAGACACGGCCCAGACUCCUACGGGAGGCAGCAGCGGGAAUUAUCAAUGGGGGAUUCCUGAUCCAGCCAUCCCGCGUGUGCGAUGAAGGCCUUCGCCAGGAAAGCACUUUUGGCAGGAAAGAAACGGCACGGGAUACCCCGUGCAACUGACGGUACCUGCAGAAUAAGCACCGGCUAACUACGUGCCAGCAGCCGCGGGUAAUACGUAGGUGCAAGCGUUAACUGAAAUCGCUUCGGGCGUAAAGCGUGCGCAGGCGGUUCGAAAAAGAAAGAUGUGAAAAUCCCAGAGCUUAACUUUUGGAACUGCACAUUUUUAACUACUGAGUUUAGAGUGUGUCAGAGGGAGGUGGAAUUCUGCGUAAAGUGUGGAAUGCGUGUGAUAUGCGGAGGAACACCGAUGGCGAAGGCAGCCUUCCCGGAUAACACGACGCUCAUGCACGAAAGCGGGAGCAAACAGGAUUAGAUACCCUGGUAGUCCACGCCUCUAAACGAUGUCAACUAGCUGUUGGGGCCUUCGGGCUUCCGGUAGCGCAGCUAACGCGUGAAGUUGACCGCCUGGGGAGUACGGUCGCAAGAUUAAAACUCAAAGGAAUUGAUAAAUUCCCGCACAAGCGGCGGUAUGAUGGGAUUACCCGAUGCAACGCGAAAACCUUACCUACCCUUACAUGUCUGGAAUCCCGAAGAGAUUUGGGGAGUGCUCGGUAGAACCGGAACACAGGUGCUGAAGUGGCCGCCGUCAGCUCGUGUCGUGAGAUGCUGGGUUAAGUCCCGCAACGAGCGCAACCCUUGUCAUUAGUUGCUACGAAAGGGCACUGACGAGACUGCCGGUGACAAACCGAGGAAGGUGGGGAUGACGUCAAGUCCUCAUGGCCCUUAUGGUAGGGCUUCACAUCGUCAUACAAUGGUCGGGACAGAGGGUCGCCAACCCGCGAGGGGGAGCCAAUCCCAGAAACCCGAUCAGAACUGGAUUCGCAGUCUGCAACUCGACUGCGUGAAGUCGGAAUCGCUAGUAAUCGCGGAUCAGCAUAAGUAAAGUCGCGGUGAAUACGUUCCCGGUCUGUACACACCGCCCGUCACACCAUGGGAGUGGGUUUUACCAGAAGUAGUUAGCCUAACCGUAAGGAGGCGAUUACCACGGUAGGAUUCAUGACUGGGGUGAAGUCGUAACAAGGCAG